UGGAAGCAAGAGCAUUGGAAAGGGGUCCGCGUAAAGUAUGAUGAUUUCACACCAAACUAGUCCAUUCCAGUCACGUCAAGUCGCGCUACUUUGCUGUUUGUUACCUUAUCUGUCCCUUUGAUUUUUCCCUUCUUCCUAUAAAACCACAUUCCCACAACAUCCGUGCGCUGCCGUGAAUGCAAAGCAAGGGCUUUCACACUGGAUCAGUCAAGUCAGCAAGUCAGUCAGUGAAUUUCUCGAAAAACACAAUUACAGAUAAGUUACUUAGAUAAAUCUAUUAUAAGUAAACAGUCUUUAGUUAUAAAUGACUUAAUUUGUAGCCGGCGUUAGUAUUUUUUGUUUUAAAGAGUUUUAAGAUUAAUGGCAUAAAUAAUACAAUGUUACAAUAAUAUUAUGUCAUAUAAACAUUAUAAUAAUCGAUUAUUAUUUUUAAAAUUAUGUCCAGCAACUGGCAAAAGACUAGUUUAAACUGAUAAACAUGUUGUUGAGUCCAUUCUAUUCUCCACGCCACUGUACUCACUAUGAAAUGCAUGGAACGUCCUCCAUUACUUUUAAAUGGAGCACCUGCUUGGCGAAUCCACAUGCAUUCGUCUUAAAUGGUUUAGUGUGAAAUCAACCCGAGUUCUUCAUUGUGAAAAUCUUAUUUUAAAGGUUUAUCAUGACUUCAUGAAGAAAGGAGCCUGACAUAUUUGGAUCCAGGGGUGGAGGGGGCAUCAGAAAUUGGAAAUAUCCAAAUUUCAAGUAGGACUGGUCCAUUUAUAUUCUUAGGACCCCAUACCGAUCCAUAUAUUUUCCAUGCUGCUUGAACAAAUCUAUGCUUUUGUCUGGGCCAGACCACACAGAUUCUUGAGAGUCUGAUCCAAUUCAAACUUGAGUUUUCAAAGUGGCAGAAAAUACAAGGGAAGCGGUGCUUCCACAGCUUCCUCGGACAGCACGCCACUGGUCUAUAGCAACAUCAUCUCUGUCCUGUAUCUUGUCAGUUCCUCUGUAGAUAUUGCAUGGUUGGUUAAAAUAAAAGUCAAAUUAUUGUCUAGACUGUUGUCUUACUACAACCUUACCAUUGGAACAAAGCCACACAGAUACAUGGUCAGGGUUGACACUGAAUAGCUCAACAAGAUAGGACAAAUUUACAUUAUCCAGUUUCAUGUUGACACAUACUACAUUACAGGUACCUUGAUGCCAUAACAUAUAUUCCACCAUGGUUCCAUGCAAAUGAAAACUGUCAUUUAGAUUACAAUCAAAAUUUUAUAUCAAAAAGUUAUUUUUUCCUCCAAAAAAUUUAUUUUUGUUCACAAAAUACAGAUUGUGUUCUGUUGCGAAAUAUUUCACUACACAGUUUCCUAUCACAUGCUGCAUAAAUAACAUCUAAUUAAAGUAAGUAUUUAAAUAAUAUGCCAUGCUCUGUUCCCAAGUUUUUAAGCAUAGUAAAGUAUU